rnacentral:rRNA from 1 species
UACGUAGGGGGCAAGCGUUGUCCGGAUUUAUUGGGCGUAAAGAGCGUGUAGGCGGCCAGACAGGUCCGUUGUGAAAACUGGAGGCUCAACCUCCAGACGUCGACGGAAACCGUCUGGCUAGAGUCCGGAAGAGGAGAGUGGAAUUCCUGGUGUAGCGGUGAAAUGCGCAGAUAUCAGGAAGAACACCCGUGGCGAAAGCGGCUCUCUGGGACGGUACUGACGCUGAGACGCGAAAGCGUGGGGAGCGAACAGG